GGAAGGAAGUUCCUCUCACAUUGAAAAUGGAAAUUUUAUUGGAGAACGAAAUGCAUUCAUCUGUUCCCCAGAAGCAUCCAUUUUCAGCACAUGGAUUGCUAUUUCUGAAUAGGAUGCCAGCUGUGUGCCAUACAUGCUGUUGACGAGAGAAGAUUCUGCUUUGAAACCUAAGGUUGGUGUCAUAUCACCAGAAGAUCAACCAACCUGGAAGGCUAAGAGUGUCAUUUAUUGUAAAAGACUGGAUGAACCAUGGAGGGAAAGACAAAGGGAGCUGUGAAGCAGAGAGCUGAAGAGAACUCCAAAGUGACU
rnacentral:lncRNA from 1 species